GAAAGUACUUAUAAAAAAAGAAAGCGUUACGAUUCAGGUAAGCAAACAGUAUUUGUGUAAAGCAAUAUAAGUAUUGGAAUGCAUCGAACUUUAGCAAUCUGGUCCAUUCAACAGUACAGACUGUUAUUGACCCAUUAAUAUAUUUUGAAAAACCUGAUGGAUGUAAUGCAGGGCUCGACUAAUCCUAUGUAUCCGGUUGCCAUAGGAAAUUUGUCCUGGCGCCAGGGAUUUGUGAGCCCAUUCAUCCCCCUAGGUGACUGGCUUCCUGUGAUCGAAGGUGGGCUGGUACGUGGCUCGCAGACAGUUGAGGCGGGUGGGCAGUUCAUGAACAGGUGGGCAUGCAGGAUGCAAGGGAGCUGUCAUCUCCCUGCUCUUCUCCCUCGCACGCCCUCAUCUCCCUGACCCUCAAGUCACCUGGUAAAGGUGUUUUUACUCAACUUUGUCCCGCACCGUGCUGGCCUCACGUCCAUGGCUGAGAUCAUCAGUUUUGACGAUCUCAGGCAAUCCAAUGCUUUACCAUAGGAAAGCAUUGGGAGACUGUUGUGCAUGUGCAGAAAAACGCAACUCUGUGCCAAUCAACACCUCCUCAUAGAGAUGCAUUGAAUCAAUGCAUCUCUAAUGGGGAACAUUCAGUGCAUGGAUAUGGUAUGGUCUCAAAAUGUGUUUUGGUAAAGAACCAGAACAAACACUCAAUUUGCUUCAAAGUACAUUAGCAAUUACAACAUCUGUUUAUUGGAGAUAAGCCUCCCAAACAUUUCAGGAGCUAAACCAUUUUAUCAGUUUGUGCUAAAGGCUUUUUGGUGUACACCCUGUGAGUCGCUUUAUUAGGCAAGUGGAAGAGACAAAUUUAGAUAUAUUAAGUGCCAUAUAAUCAACAUUAAUUGUUCCAGCUAGUGAAUUUACAUUGAAUCAGUAGACUUACAGUAUCUCACAAAAGUGAGUACACUCCUCACAUUUUUAUUUUGAGGGGACAGCAAAUGUACACUGUUAUACAGGCUGUACACUUACUACUUUACAUUGUAGCAGAGUGUCAUAUCUUCAGCGUUGUCACACGAAAAUAUAUAAUAUAUUUACAAAAAUGUGAGGGGUGUACUCACUUUUGAUAGAUACUGUAUAUGCAUACAUUUGCUCCAUUGAAAAAUAUACAAUUAUACAAUACCAUUUAAAUGUUUAUGUGUUAUAAUUAGCUCUCUUUAAUAUAGAUCUAGUACAGCAAUAGUCAGAAAGGACAAUUUAUAUUCAACAGUACAUAGACCAGUAAUACUUUUCGGCUGUUCACCAAGGUACAUAUUAUUUAUUAAUUUAACUCACAGAUAAGAGGGAAUCAUCAGUUGUGUAUGCGGCUGUGGUUGGGAACACAUGGCAAAGGGGUGAUCGCCCAAUAUAAUAUAUAAUGAGGUGUGCUCUCUAAUAAAUGUGACAAUACUAGUGCUUAGAGCACACGUAUGAUUGUUUGGUCUGUGUCUUUUUGUCUUAAAUGCAUCUGUACCGUGGUUGGUUUUUGGUAAACCAGGAAUAAAAUCAAAGUAAUAAAGACUGAAUUUUGCUGUCAACUUUCUGAACAAUUUGAUAAAUAUUCCCUUUUGUGUUUUGGUGAGCUAUAAAAAGGUUCACUACCACUCUAAUUAUGUCCUUUGUACAUAUAGUAACCACUAAAGCAGAAACUCCAUCUGGUUCAGGUAAGGCCUGCUGCCCCUUGCUGUAUAAAUAUUUGUGGUGAUUGUUUUGUCAUUGUUUUAUUUUUUCUUAAUAAUGUUAAGAAAAAAGAGGCAUUUGUAAUAAGGAACGGAGCCUGCUACUUUUUAAAACCUAGCUAAAACUGAAAUUCUGUAUGCAGCUAAUAUAACUGGCUAUCAUGUGCCAAUAACAUUUGCGUACCUCUCAACUCCGGCGUCAUGUGCAUCAAAAUGUAAUUGGGAGGGGCAGUCCUGCACAGGAAAGAGCAUCCAUUCAGCAAGCCUGGCAGACUAGCAUGGAUGUAUGCCAAGCUACCUGUCUAUAAUUCAGGCUGGCUCACUGAGGGCAGAUCCUGCCAGGAGAACUAUUUCAGGGCUCUUUGCGGAGUUCUAACACCCUGAGCAUACAGUGAACCCACCUAAUGUUGUUGAGGACAACUUCUUGGUCGUCGUCCCCCAAAAAAAUUAGAACAUAGGACAGGUCCUGAAAAUCAGAACUAUACUGCUGAAAUCAGUUGGGCCUGCAUUUGUCUGGUAGGUUGGUAUAGAAAAUAUCCAUGGAAUUGGGAAAAGAAUAAGACUCCAUUAAUAUUCUAAUUUAGCUUCUGACUUCAUUUUUAUUUCAGAAAGCACUAAUAAAAAAUCGAAGCUGCCUGGUUCAGGUAAGUGCUAUUAGUAUAAAAUAGCCUCAAUUUAUUUUUAUGUAAUUUCUUUUUGGUUUUUUUUUUUUUUAAGUAAGCACAUUGUAACCACAUUACAAUAUGGAUGAACAGGUUGUUGGCAUUAGCAAACAUAAUGUUAAUUGAAUGAUUAUUGAAGUAGAAUAAGCCAUAUAUAUAUGCUCUCACAGAAUGAGCAUUUCAGAGGGGUAGGGGAAUGAGGAGGUUUGGAGGGCAAGAUCGUUGAUGCAGUUUCUUAUGUUGUGUAAUGUUCUGCAUAUGUAAUGACAAAUGAAUCAUAUUGUGCAGCGUAUAGGAUAAAAUAUUGUUGUUCUUUAGUUACAAAGGAAAAUUUACAAAAACAAACAUCAAAGCUGUGCCAUGGUUAGAAUGGUAGCUAGGUAACCGUAUUGAAUUGUGGGGUAUAAAAGCCUCAUGGGGUAUAAAAGCCUCAUGGUAAAGUUUAUUAGCACUAAUUGUCAUACAUUGUAACAAAAAGGUUUCACGUAGAGCAUUGUAUUGUGGUUUAUGUGUACUAUUUCAGAUAAGUUCACUGAUGCUUGUUUAUUAAAAUUUAAAAUGUCAAUUAAAUUGUAAAAAUACAUGAAAUGUCUGUAUUCUUUCUCUCUUUUUGUACAAACAGCAAGCACUGCGAAAAAAGAAACCCCAUCUGUUUCAGGUUAGUUAUGUUGCUGCAACACAUAAUUUAAGAUUUCUGUGCCCCCCUCUUUCAGUGGGGGACUGUUAUUACAGAUCGAUUCUGGGGAUAGGACACAUUCUUACACUUAACAAUAAAAAUGGCAAUACAGUGGAGAUGUAUGUGUUGCAGACCUGGCCCACCAAUCAUUAUUCUACCAAUUUAAAAAAGCAAUAAAGCCUUACGGUACAAUAGCGGUAAAACCAAGUGCAGCAACAGGGUCACCCUAGUGUGUUGUCACUCCCACACUAAAUACAUACGUUUCAAAUGGAAAGAACAGGUCAAGGUGACAAGUGCACAAAUUGGGUGAACCUUUUUCAGACGGAUAACAAGAUAGAGACCUACACAGUACAAGAUACAAACAACAUCAUGAAAAUUAGCACACUCGCAGAUUUUUGAGCCACUCAAAAGCUGGCUCAGACUGUCUGGUUGUUUCUCCCAAUACUGGGUUGUCGAUCCAAACACCGUGUCCCACCAGAUACAGCAACUCCAAACAGGUUAGUUUUCCAGAACCAGGGUUGAUGGUAAAAAGUUUUUUAUUUUCAAAUAACCAAUAGGAAAUAUAAAAUCAACAUUCAAGUCUUUCAAAUUCACAGCACAAUGCGUCUCAACCUUUGGCUAGGUCUUCCUCAGGUGCAUAUGACAGGGUUAUACAAACAGGGUUUAUAUACAUACAAAAAUACAAUUAAUUGGGUUCGGGUGCGUUAAUUACUUCAAAUUAACGCCCCUUACCUUAUAUGAACGAAUUUCGCCUCUCUUAAUAUGGAUACCGCCUUGUAUUCAGUUCCUGUGUGUAGAUAUUCUGGCCAUGUCUCAACCAAGAUGGCGGCGUGUCUGUUUCCUAUGACACGUUUCCUGUAGCGAUCGUCGCUCUCUAGAUGGUGGCGCGUCAACUUCCUGUGACGCAUUCCUGCCGCAAUUGUCGCUUUUGAGCACAAAGUUUGUUCCCAGCCGUCCAUUGAAUAAGUUUGAAGCAUAUGUGGAUAUAAAUCGUUUUAUUGGAAAGUUAAAAAAAUGUUUAAGAUAAAGAAAACUCAAAUUUAGAGAUAUAGAGAUAUAUAUAUAGAGAGAUAUAAUAUACAUUGAAAAGGCCUGUUUAGACGAGAUAUAUAAGAUCAAACCAUUGUGAUCCUUGUCUGCAGUUAGCACGGUUCUUUUGGGUACAAACAUGCACAGUCUUUAAAAGUAACUUAAUUCCAGGCACUUUAUGUUGAGCUUCACCACAGAGACAGCAGCAAAUGAAAAAACACUAAUGUAACACAAAUCCCUAUAAACAAAAACCUAGCUCGUCUGAGCACUUACUAACAUCAGAUUCCCUAUCUCUUAGGGGUUAACCUAUAACAAAACAAUAUUGGUUUCACCAACCUAGUGUCUUUGUCAGCUCUCUGCACUCCAGUGCUUAGUCAGCCUGCUGCUUCCAGCCCUUCAAGAGAGAAACAAACAUUGCCUAGCAGGGAGGGGUUUAUUCACACUGCUGCAGCUGAGUAGUGGGUUGGAGACAGUCCAAACCCUGACCUGGACCUAGUCUCCCAAGAAAAAACAAUAAACAGCGGAGUGGAGCUGCAUUUAACCCCUUAAGGACGGAGCCAAAUGUACACGUUGUGAACGAAACAAAAUGUAAACAAAACCUGGCAUUUGCGCUACAUGUCUGUCCAACUGUAAUUCACCUCUUUCAUAGUAAAUACACCCACCCUUAUUAUAUAUAAUUUUAUUCAGGGGAAACAAGGCUUUCAUUUAAUAUCAAAAAUUUAGCUAUGAAACAUAAUUUAAUAUGAAACAAAUUGGAGAAAAUUUGAUUUAUUUAUUUCUACAUGACAUUUUAACUGUCAAUGUCUUAAUACUGUUUGCUUUUACUGCAAUAAAAUACACAUAUUUGUAUUCAGCAAAGUCUCACGUGUAAAACAGUACCGCCUAUGUACAGGUUUUAUGGCGUUUUGGGACGUUACAAGGUCAAAUAUAGCACGUUACAUUUGAAAUUGAAAUUCGCCAGAUUGUUUACGUUGCCUUUGGGACUUUAUAGUAGCCCAGGAAUGAAAUUUACACCCAUAAUGGCAUACCAUUUGCAAUAGUAGACAACCCAAGGUAUUGCAAAUGGGGUAUGUCCAGUCUAUUUUAGUAGCCAUUUGGUCACAAACACUGGCCAAAGUUAGCAUUAGUAUUUGCUUGUGUGUGAAAAAUGCAAAAAACGCCAAUUUUGGCCAGUCUUUGUGACUAAGUGGCUACUAAAAAAGACUGGACAUACCCCGUUUGCAAUACCUUGGGUUGUCUGCUAUUGCAAAUGGUAUGCCAUCAUAGGGGUAAUUUUCAUUCUUGGGUUACCAUAGGGUCUCAAAGGCACCGUAACAAAUCUGGCGAAUUUUAAUGUGAAAAAAAUGAAACGUAAGCCUUAUAUUUGACGCUGUAACUUUUGAAAACACCAUAAAACCUUUUCAAGCCAUUUCAAGACCAGGCACUUAUAUUUAAGUUAGGUAUGAGUAUGGCAAGUAUUAGUGCUGUUGUCGGUAAAAUGUCUCUGUAUUGCUUUCUAUGCUGCGGCAUGAUCCAGGCUAGGGAUGUAAUGUGGUGUCCUUCGGUGUAAGUCGCUUCUAAUGUAAAAGCAGGAUGGUAAGGAAUUGCUCUGAUGGAAGGCCAUCACCAAAGGGCUGAGGAUAGCAGCCCGUUAAUGAUUAGUCAGAUUCGGGAGUCCCAGACCCCCCUGUUGGAAUGGUUUAUACACAUGUUGGGCAACAAGCCUUGAUCUUUUAUUUGCCUACACAAAUUUGUUAAGCACCGAUUGUUAUGGUAUCUUAUAGUGUGCGAGACAAGUAUUGUAAUUUAGGCAGAAUGCGCAUUUUCACAGCCGCCACUCUUCCCAUCCAGGAUAAGUGUCUACCCUUCCAACCCAGUAACUGAGUUUUAACAUUUUUCAUUGCCUUGGCAUAGUUUGCCUGAUAUAAUCCUUGUACAUGCAUUGUAAAAAAACACCCCUAGAAAUGUGAGACCAUUCUGUCUCCAGUCAUGUGUAGGUUUGUUGCAAUGUUUUGGAAAGGGAAGUUGGUAUAUGGAUGUCUAGUGCUUGUGUUUUCGCUAUGUUUAGUUUAUAGUAGGAAAAUGCACUAUAUUUAGUUAAGAUGUUCUGGAAGGCAGGGAUAGAUAUCUCUGGCUUUGUGAAAGACAGCAUCACAUCAUCCGCAAACAUAGUAAACUUGUAAUCUAUCUCGCCUAUCUUAAUGCUGUGUAUUGAGAUAUUAUCCCUUAUCGCCUGCGCCAGUGUUUCAAAUGCUAAAAUAUAGAGAAGAGGGGACAAUGGACAUUCCUAGCGCGUGCCAUUUGAAAUGCCAAAAGCAGACUAUGUGAACCCUCCAUUUGCUACUUUUGCUGAGGGAUUGGAGUAAAGUGCUGAAAUUAGAGAUAGAAACUGUGGAGGGAAGUCGAAUUAUUGGAAUAUGGCCUCGAAAUGCCAGUGCAGCCUGUCCAAAGAGAGGACGACCCUGGGGUCCCUUGAGGCUCGUUGUCCACAAAGGAAAUAUAACAAUUUUCUGGUGCCAUCAGCUCCCAGUCUGCCUGUGACUUGGUCUGGGUGUAACAAUGAUGGAAUCAGGUGAGAUACUCAGUUUGCCUAUAUAUUUGCUAGAAUUUUAGUAUCUGUAUUCAGUAGCGAUAUUGGACGAAGGUUUUGUGUUUUUUUUCGGUGGUUUCCCUGGUUUUGGUAAUGUCGCUAUGUAUGCUAGUAACAUGUCGGAUGGUAAGUUACCAGAUUCUAUUAUGUGGUUGAGUUGUUACUAAUUGGGACCCUAGAGUUUGAUGGAAGGUUUUAUUGUAGGCAUUUGUGAAGCCAUCUGGGCCUGGUGAUUUCUCCUGGGGUAAGGAUUCUAUAGCUUGUCAGUUCAAGUAGGGAAAUUGGGGUCGUGAGUGCCUCUCCUUGUGCAUGCGUCAGAGUUUUCAGUGUGAUACUGGAGAGGAAUCCUUAUGUUUCGCUAUGUGUAGGCUGGUGAUUCGUUAAAUCAUGUUUUAAGUUGUGAAGUGAUUUAAAGAAUUCAGCCAUAGUGUUAUUUAUGUAUUGUGGAUUGUAUAUUUUCCCACCAAAGGCAUUGAAUAGGUAUGGUAUUUUCGAUUGAGCCUGUUGCUGGUGUAACAUUACCGCAAGUGCUUUGCUGGCCCUGUUGCCCUGUGUAUAAGUUUUCAGUUUUAAUCUUUGGAGAGUAUGGGCUGUCUUUUUUUUAGAAGGAAGUAGUUUAUUUGUUUGGUAGUUUGACGUAUUUGUUCGUCUAGUGUAUCCGUGGGGUGCAGGAGAUGGGCAUUUGUUAGGUUCCUAAGCGUUCUGAGUAGGGUAAGAUAUCUGUGUGUAAUUCGUUUUAGAUAUGAAGCUCUACUAGUCAUCAACCCUCUGACAACCAUUUUAUGAGCUUGCCAUGUAGUCGCGGGUUGAACUUUAGAUGUAAUGUUGUCUUUAAAGUAUUUGACGUCAGCUUCCAAUUUAGUUCUAAACUCAUUGUCGUAUAACAGUGUAUCAUUAAGGCGCCACUGGGUUCUUCCCCUAUGGUAGAAUAUAUUUUGUAAGGUCAUAGUUGUCGGAACAUGGACCAACCAAACUAUAUCUCCUAUACGACAACCCACGACACAUGACAACAAGCCUCUGGACACUAGUAUGUCUAUUCUUGAGUGUGUUUUAUGUACCGAAGAGAAAAACUUAAAUUCCCUGUCAUUAGGGUGCUGAGUACGCCAUACACCGUACAGGUCAUAUUCAGAGAUCAGCUUGGUGAGUGCUUUGCAUUGUGUCAGUAGGGAUUUAGAUCUGGGGGCUUGUUUGGCAAGAGUUGUAUCCAUGUGUGGGUGGAGGACUUGGUUCAAGUCCCGCAUAUUUAAUAAUUCUUUAUUUUGGUUGUGGAGAUAUUGAACAUGUUAUUUGCACUGCCACAACAGCUGGUGCAAACAGAUGUGUAUUCACAUGGCAUCAAAGACAUUGCACUUUUUUGUUUAGAGAGAGAUAAACAGGAUUAGAUCAUAAGCUUCACAAUAACAUAGGGGAAAUGUUAGCUUGUUAGUUAAAGUUAGGGAUCUACCGAUUAUCGGUCUGGCCAAUAUUAUAUUACAAGAUAAAGGUAUCCGCAUUGAUUUGAGCAGACUCUCAAGAAAGACUGCCACAUUGUUCUAAUAUAUAAACAGAUUAAUACAGGCUGGGUUUAGUUAGUGCUUGAAAAUAGUGUAAGAGUGCGUAAGCUGUGUUUUUCACAAGAGAAAUGUGAUGGAGUAAACAUGCAAUAUUAGGUGUGGUGCAAGCUGAAUUAGUAUUUCUAAUGUGGUGAGUCACUUUGUGGUCGACAGGCUUGUGUCAUUAGACAUAUGUGCCUGCUCAAAUAUGUUAAAGUAGGCUUUAAAAAAAUAUGAAGAACAAAAAUGAACAGAUAUAGUUUAACUAUGUUAGCUGAAUGUCAGGCUAAUUGCCACCGUAGGACACACAUGUUACGCUAUGUUUGGGGUUUCUGCAGUAAUGGGGACCCCCAAGGAGAGCUAAACUAACUUAUUCACUUCGGAAAUCAGGCAGCUUGUGAUCGCUAGAAGUGCCCACUUAUGAUGGUCAAGUGUUGCUCGGCAGUAGCGGCGCGAUUCCCCUUGGGUGUCAGUCCGGGUGACGUGCUCACCCAUAGGCCUGGGUGCAGCUCAUAGCCCGCUUUGUCAGCCGAUCCCCUCGCGUGGCAUUGUGAGGCCUCCCCCUGGCCCCCAGGCCUUGUGUGGGGUCUGUAUCCAGGUGCCACAAACUCGUGGAGGCAGAGUUUUUCUCUGCAUGGGCAUCACGGAAAGCUCCGAUGUUCUGUCGCCGGCGGUAUGGUCAAUGCUGCGGAGGGAACCUCCUUGUGACCCUCGGCCCGGGUGGCUGGUCAGUACUCAUUGUUGGGUUAGGAGGGUAUGUAUUGCCCAGGGACAGGCCUGCUCCCUCUCCGUAUCCCCGUGAUAUACCUCCGUUUGCCAAGGAGGGCCUUGCGAGGAGUCAUUCCAGUUUGUCCCAGAAUUGCCGGAAUAUCAGGUCCAGGCUUGUGGGUGUAGGCCUCGUGAAAUGCAUUGCUUCUGCCAUGUUGCUGGGCCCGGAGCCCAGGCCUGAGUGGGCAGCUGUAGUCCAUACGGUUGUGUGUCCGAUUGGUGGGGGGGGGGCGGCCUGAGGACUGAGGCUCAAACUUUGCCUUGCAUGGGUCAGCUCGCACCAUGUGCCUGUCUCCACAAGUCACCAAUAUUAAUCCUGAGAUUGGGUUGGUCAGUUUUGGGCUUUUUGGACUUGCGCCCCAUGAUGACUGGGCUGUCAGAUGAGGUCCUUGGGGCCAGAUUUUACUUGGUAAUUGCCCUGAUUUAGUGCUUUUUAUUUGCUUGUAGCCUGGAACUUCAGAAGUGUGCAACCGUCCGCUUUGGCAGUUAGGCUCCUCCUCCUCCAAGUCCUCGAAUAUUACGAGUUGAUUUGUCUGAUUUGUGUGGAGUUUGUUCAGCACCUUAUGUAUAAAUUUGCGCUGAUUAGCGUUGGGGCCAUAAAUGCCCACCAAUGUGUAUAUGGCUUCAUUGAUUUUGCAGUGUAAGAUCGUCUUUGAGAGUCUUUUUUGAUGGGUAGUAAUUCAAAGGUAAGGGAUUUAUGUAUCAAUAAGGAGACCUCCCCUAGUGUUGGAGGAAUAAAUUGUAUGAUAUUGUAUCGGGUAGUCUCGCAACACAAAAAGUGGUAUUUUGUUGUGUACAAAGUGGGUUUCCUGUAAACUCGUCUUUUGUGUGGAGUGUUUAGCCCCCGGACGUUUUUUGUGAUUGUGGUUUCAUAGCCAUAUGUUGUGUGAUGUAUGUAGGCAUCUAGCUUCAUAGAUUAUCUUUUCUGUGUAAUGUGCUUUGGUCAGUUUAGGCCCCAUUGGAGAAGGUUAGCGAAGGAUUAGAGGAAGGGGAGAGAUAAAACUGAGGGAAAAGGAAAAAAAAUGAUAUUUACAUAACUGAUAUGUACAUAAGGUCUCCUGUGGUGAUAUGGUACAUGGCUGUUGUACCAUGGGGGUUAGAAACCAAUUGUUUCCUGUGGGUGGCUAUGUGGGCUCUAUCAUGUUGUCCUAAGAUGGUAGGACGCGUUUGAGUGUAUCUAACUUGUAUCUGUUGUUUAUCCACUCUGGGAAAAAAUUCAGUCAGUGUCAUAAAAUACCAUGGAAUAAAAGUUCGAGUGACUGUAUGUAUAGGUACCAGGGGUAAAAUAUAUAUAUAUAUAUAUAUAUAUAUAUAUAUAUAUAUAUAUAUAUAUACGUAGUCACCUAUAGGUAGCACAUCGUUUUAGUAAUCUGUACACAUUGUAUCUUGGGGAGGACCGAUAAUUUCAUGAUGGAAUGAUUAAGUUGCAUGGAGAUAUGAGAUUAUCAUGAAAUCUUGCUUGUGCAAUCGAGGGUCACCUUGAUCUUAAUAUAAUUAAUAUUGUGUUGGGUGCUAGCUCUGAUUAUAGAUAAAGAUGACCCUGUAGAAAUGGAGUCACUAGAUACCCGUGCACAUCAUAUUAUUUUAAAUCAUAUGCACAGUACAGUGCAAAGGGCCUCUGUGUUUCUAAUGUGGGAUCAAAUGUGUUGUGCUGUGAAUUUGAAAGACUUGAAUGUUGAUUUUCUAUUGGUUAUUUGAAAAUAAAAACUUUUUUACCAUCAACCCUGGUUCCGGAGCACUAACCUGUUUGGAGUUGCUGUAUCUGGUGGGAACCUGGUGUUUGGAUCAACAACCCAGUAUUGGGAGAAACGACCAGACAGUCUGAGCCAGCUUUUGAGUGGCUCAAAAAUUGUGAGUGUGCCAAUUUCACCACUUGCUUAAAUAUCUUCAAGCAUAUUACACUUGAUGUUGUUUGUAUUUUGUACUGUUUAGGUCUCUAUCUUAUCUGCCUGAAAGAGGUUUACCCAAUUUGUGCCCAUGUCACCUUCACCUGUUCUUUCCAUUCUUUUACCAAUCACAUUAUAAGUGUUUAAUCAUGGACCUAACUAUAUGCCUACAAAGUCCAUGACUUUGUGCAAGUGUACCUAGAAGAAUCGGUGCUGUUUUGAAGGCUAAGGGUGGUGACUUUGCAUGUUGUUAAUUGCUAAAAAUAAGAUAUCAUUUAAAAAAUUUAUUUUGUAAAAAAAAUGUUUUAAAUCAUUAAUUCUUAAAAGUUUUGCACAGCAGUGUACGUUGAAAGUAAAAAAACAAAAGAAAAUCAUAAAAUAUUUAUCUAGGGGGUGAAAGUUAGAUAUUGAUUUCUAGUUUGUUCUGACGUACUUAAUAAUUAAUAUUCAACAGGAAGUGUGUGUGUGUUCAAUCACAUUUUAAUACGUACAGCCUGUUUUUGAAAGAGCUGUGCAGUGUAGGAAUGAUAAAAAAGGAAGUGUUACCCAACGUAACAAACCUUGUAAUUUUGUCAGUCUGUUUUACGGUGUUCAAUACUUGUUUGCAAUUCAUGUCAAAAAUACAUUGGGGCCAGUGCCCCAUAUUUGUUCUAAAAACUUGCUUCAGUUUGACCAUGUCCUAUAAUAUUUCUUGUACAGUUUCAGGAACACUCUAAUGAUGCUUUUUGUCUAAUUAUAGGUGCUCUUUUUAAUAUAGAUGACCCCCUCCAACCCUGCCUCCCAAUAUAAAUAAAUUAUUGCCUUGAUAGAGAUAGCAGCAGCUCUGCCUUUAAUGAAGUCAUCAGGAUUGGUGGCUUUUGUCCAAUCCAAUAUUUCUAAUUGAGAGGCAUUUGGGAUAAAAGGAGCAUGAACAACAAUUAUUCCACUCUUGCCAGUUGGAUGCUGGGAUGAAAAGGAUUAACACUUUUCAGUAUUAUCAUGCUGAUUAAGUGCUUCUAGUGUAUGUCAGUUCAACACCCACUAGAGCAGGGGUAGGCAACAUUUUAGCAGCACUGUGCCGAUAUAGGAUUGUGAUGUCCCGUAGCGUGCCGGUCCUAUUUUUUUUUUUUUAUUCUUUUAAAUCGAGGGGUGUAUGCUGCCGUAUUCUGCUUGUGUUAUUUUUAAUGUAAUUGCUUUGUAUCGUUGUAUUUGUGCUUAUAUGCAGAGCUGUCUUUAAUAGUCACUGGACCCUGGGCAAAGCAUUUGCUUGGGGCCCCCUGGACCCUGUCCCCCCUCCUCAGGCAUGCAAUCACAUCCUCCACCUCAACGCAGUGGCAGACCUAAAGUAGAGAGGUGCGAGAAUUUUUGGGGGUCUCUUUGUUGCACGGGUGAUUAAAAGGUAGAUCUCCAUCUGUCGUGCAACUCCAGAAAUGCAUUGACAGCUGGGGCUCUACCAUUUGCCCAUGUUUGCAGGUCUGUUUUUAGCACUAAGCAGUUUUUGUGUGUUUGAAUGUAAACAGGUUUUUGUAUGGAAGAUGUUUGUAUGUGGUGUUGGCGUGAUUGCAAGCAUGUAUUUGUGUACUGUUGGUUUUUGAAUGCAGGGGUGUAUUUACAUAUAAUUUUGGUGUGUAACACAGACAUGUGUUUGUACGUAGCGUUGAAAUUUGAAUGCAGGGGUGUAUUUGUGUGUAGUGUUAGUGUGUGAAUGCUGAGAUGUAUGCACAUAUAUAUACACACACACAGAUAUAUACACACUGAAAUGCGCGCACACACACAGAUACACAUACAGACAUGCUGACAUACAAACAUACUGACACACACACAGAUAUACUGACACACACAAAGACAUACUGACACACACAGAUGACACACACACACACACACACACACACACACGGACAGGCAUACUGACACAGGCAUACACUUUAAAACCCACCCUCCAGUUUCCUACCUUUCCUGCUGGUGGCUGAAAGUGUUGGGAGUUGGGGUCUAGCGCUCUCGGCCAGCCCCCCUCCAAUCUGCCUACUAUUCUUUCCCGCGCACUCCUCCCCUUGUGGGAGGAAGUGAUGCGCGGUCAUCACUUCCUUCCAUCCUGCUGCCGUUAAAGCACCUCAGCGUGCGACCGGGCCCCUGCUGACAGAAGCCCACUGGGUGGUCCUUUGUGUAUGGGCCACCCAGUGGGCCUCCUUAGUGUGCGGAUUACCGGCCAGAGGGUUAGAAAUAGUUGAGGCCUGCAGGGCUCACGGUGCAGCUGGCCAGUUUGCCCCACGCUAAAGAGGGCCCUGCGUAUACGAGCUAUUAUAUUGUAUAUAUUCAUGAGUAGUUUAUGGUAUUGUAUAUGAUACAUAUGGAUGUGGGCUGUGUAUGGGGGCUGCUUGUGGAAUUGUGUGUGUGUGUGUAUGGAUAUGUCAGUGUGUGUUUGGUAGUAUGUGGGGGAUGUUUGUGGUAUUGCAUGUGGGGUUGUGUGCAUGUAUGUGGAUUGUUAGUGGUGUUUCGUUUGUGCGGAUUGUGUGAUGUUUGUGUGUGGGGGGUCCGUAUUAUUUGUAUGAGGGGAGGGUUAUUCUGCGUUUCUUUGUGGGUGGCUUCCAGUGGGGACUAGGCCGGCCAGGUACAUGUCAAGGAUAGGAGCUGCAACUGCGAGCUGCUCAGUGUGGUUUCCUAUUCACAAGUGCUGGGAGGAAGUGAUCUGAGAUCAAUACCUCUACGUGCUGCAAUGCAUAAAUUGAGGAUUGUCCUUCACCACCUUUUCUGAUUAGCAGAUAUCAAGUUUUACUGGGACUCCUGAUAGGCCAGAGCCUGUUUGGCUCUAGCAGCCUUGAGUGCCGUGCAUGGCACUAGUGCCAUAGGUUGCCUUCCCCUGCACUAGAGGUUUCUGUUCUCAUAAAUGUAAAUCUAAGAAACAGCAAUGUUUUUAAAUUUGUCAGAGAAAAGGAACAUCAAGAUGUAGUGGUUUGGGUGUUUAGUAUGUGUCUUUAACCCCUUAGCGACCGAGGACGGUUCAGGACCGUCAUCGGCAUUUUUGCCUUGAGGACCGAUGACGGUCCUGAACCGUCCUAACGGUCUGGGGGUACUUACCUGAUCGCCGUCGUUCCCCCGGCGGCGAUCAGCGUUGCUCCGGUUGUGGGGAGACUGCCUGCAGCCCAGACAGUCUCCCCACACUGAAUUAGGACCCCUGUGGCCAUGUGAUCGCUUAACACAGCGAUCACAUGGUCACAAUAGGUGUCCAUGUGUGUGCCUGCAGGGGGACUGUCUAUGCUGACAGGCAGUCUCCCUGCUAGUGUAAAAUCAAAAAAUAAAAAUAAAGUUAAUGUUAAAAAAAAAAAAUAAUAAUUAUAUAUGUGUAUAUAUGAUAUAUAGACAUAUAAUAUAUCUAUAUAAUAUGUCUAUAUAUCAUCUAUAUAAUGCCAUACUAAGUGUAUUUUUAUAUCAAUAUGUACUUAUAUUAAUAUAAAAAUACACUUAUAAUUAAAUUACACACGUAUAUAUUUAAUAUAUAUAUAACUAUAUAUAUAUUGUAUAUAUAUAUUAUUAUAAAAUAUAAAUAAGUAAUUUAAAUUAAAUAAAAAUUUUUUAAAAUAAUAAAAAAAAUUAAAAAAAUUAUAUAUCUAUAUGAAAUUUUAUUCUAACUGUAUUUUAAAAUUAAUAUAUAUAUAUUUAUAUCAAAAUACACUUAGAAUGAAUUUGUAUAUAUAUCUAUGUAUAUAAAAUAAAUAAAAAUAAGAAAUAUACAUAUGUCCAUAUACAAAAUUACAUAAAUAAUUAUAUAAAUAUACACGUAGACUUCAAAUAUAUAAAUAUGCAUAUAUAUUUAAAUUCUACGUGUGUAUUUAUGUAAUAGUUUUACAUAAUUCAGUAAUUUUAUUGAUUGCAAUUUAAGGGACCUGCCUGCCAACCCAGGCCGAAAUUCCAGAGAAUUGAAUUUGCUAGCACUGUAUUUUACCCUGUAACGUUCUACGACACCCUAAAACCUGUACAUGGGGGGUACUGUUUUACUCGGGAGACUUCGCUGAACACAAAUAUUAGUGAUUCAAAACAGUAAAACAUAUCACAGCGAUGAUAUUGUCAGUGAAAGUGACUUUUUUUGCAUUUUUCACACACAAACAGCACUUUUACUGAUGAUAUAAUUGUUGUGAUACGUUUUCCAGUUUUUAAACACUAAUAUUUGUGUUCAGCGAUGUCUCCCGAGUAAAACAGUACCCCCCAUGUACAGGUUUUAUAGCAUUUUUGAAAGUUACAAGGUCAAAUAUAUGGGUCAAAUAUUUUUACAUUGAAAAUGGCCAGGUUGGUUACGUUGCCUUUGAGAGCGUAUGGUAGCCCAGGAAUGAGAAUUACCCCCAUGAUGGCAUACCAUUUGCAAAAGAAGACAACCCAAGGUAUUGCAAAUGGGGUAUGUCCAGUCUUUUUUAGUAACCACUUGGUCACAAACACUGGCCAAAAUUAGCGUUCAAUUUAGUUUUUUUACUUUUUCACACACAAACAAAUAUGAAUGCUUACUUUGGCCAGUGUUUUCGACUAAGUGGCUACUAAAAAAGACUGGACAUACCCCAUAUUGAAUACCCUGGGUUGUCUACUUUAAAAAAAUAUGUACAUGUGGGGUGUUAUUCAGAGAUUUAUGACAGAUAAUAGUGUUACAAUGUCACUAUUGAUAAAUUUAAAAAAUUUAUGUUUUGAAACCGCAAUAUUCUACUUGUACCUAUAGCCCUAUAACAUGCAAAAAAAAGCAAAAAAGCAUGUAAACACGGGGUAUUUUUAAACUCAGGACAAAAUUUUGAAUCUAUUUAGCAGUUUUUUUAAUUCGCUUUUGUAGAUGAGUAAAAGAUUUUUCAAGUAAAAGUCAAAAAACAUGUAUUUUUUUCAAUUUUUCAUCAUAUUUUUUUAUUUUUUUUAAAUUAAAAUACAUGAGAUUAUAUAAAUAAUGGUAUGUAAAGAAAGCCCCUUUUGUCCUGAAAAAACAAUAUAUAAUUUGUAUGGGAACAGUAAAUGAGAGAGCGGAAAAUUCCAGCCAAACACAAACACCACAAAAGUGUAAAAAUAUGCCUGGUCGCAAAUGUACAACAUCGCAAAAACAGUCCAGUCCUUAAGGGGUUAAAAUUCCUUUCAUAAAAACUAAUGAAGGCAUGUUUCUAUUUGAGCUCCUCUCAACGCCAGCAUUUCAGUUAUGUUCACUUGGAUGAAAGAUCAAAGCGGUGAUUCUAAAGUAAAAGAUUACCAGGACUUCAAGUUGUAAAUAUAAAUGUAAAUCUAAAACAUGUACAUGAAAAAAAUUGUAUUUUAUUCUCAUAUUUAUUUUUUAUUUUUUUUGUAAAUCUAGGAAGCACAGAGUCUAAGGACACCCCAUGUGUUUCAGGUAAGUGUUACCCUAGUGUAUAGUUUAAAAUAUUUUUUUUGUCUUUAGAUUGUUUAGUAUAAAAAACAAACAUAGUACUUUCUAAAGAUAGAACUGUUAAACUGUGUUCACAUAGGCAAAUAUAUUUUUACAGUAAGAUGAAAAAUAUCUCUGUUGUAGACCAAACUGUAUACUUGUCUCUUAGUAAAUUCACAUUACCCUCCAUUUGUGUUUUUAUUAGGAUUUCUUUUAAUCUACUUUGAAUUUAAAUGGGCCGCUGCUAAAGUGAAUAUUUAUCUAGGGGGUGAAAGUUAGAAAUUGAUUUUUUGUGUAUGUUAAGUAUUUCAUAAUUAAUAUUUAACAGGAAAUGUGUGUGUUCAAUCACAUUUUAAUACGUACAGCCUGAUUUUAAAAGAGCUAUACAGUGUAUGAAUACUUUCCUCAACUUUGGGUUUGUCAUAGUUAGGUUUAUACUACACAGUUGUUCUGGGAGCACUAUAACAACUCCAGUUCAUGGUAAGGGUUAUGGUGUUAAGAGUCAAUCUACUGCAUCUAGCGCCUUCACGCACACAUUUUGAUAAAAAAAAUAUAUAUAUAUACACAUAGCUAGUAGUAUAUAAACCAUCAGUUUGUGCAUAUAUUGCUUUGCAAAUAAACUUACAGAUUAAAAAUAUUUACAUUUACACAACUUUUAAAAAAAAUAAAAAAACAUUUGGGAAAUGAAAAGAUUUAUACAGUAUCCUAGAUUAUCCUUUAUCUUGCAAUAUUUCACACAUGGUCUGAUAUUUUGUAUAAAGGCAAAACUAUAUAUAUCCCCUCCCCCCCACAUACACAAGGUAUGACAAAUAAAUAAAAAUGGUGCAAUACCUUGCUUAUUGGUAUUUGUAGGCACCCUGAAAGCUUACCACCAAUCACAACAGAAUGUAGAAAGAAUGUCUGCAUUGAGCAUAAUGCCUACAUAAGUGACUAUAGUUAAACCAAAUAUUUCUGAAAUAAAGGUAUUUAAAGCAGCACUGUCACCGUUGUGGGAGUUUGUUAAAUCCGCAGGGGGUCUGGUGGCCGGAAAGGGCAGGUAAAGAUAAGAUUUACUUACUUGAACCUGUGCCUCGAAGGCGCAGCCACCUUCCUCUUCAGAGCCGACACAUUGAGGUCUAUGAAGCAUUCUGCGAGACCGUCGGAUCCUCUUUCGACGCAGGCAGUUCCCUGCAGUCCCUACUUUGUCUCUGUAUAUCUCUAGACUUGGUUGGAAUAUCUGUGAAAUUCCAACCCAGUAAAAAUGACUAUUUCAUAAAAAUUCUAUCUUUAUGAAUUACUGAAUUUUUUUUUGGAGAGGGGAGAGGAGAGGAGAGGAGAGGAGGGUGACAGUUCCGCUUUAAAACUUCUAUAGCAAUCUUUAUCAAUCUCGGGACUGCUGUUGUAAUGAUAAACGAAGUGCAACCACUUGAAAGUGCAAACAAUGUUUAGAAUAAAGUACUUAAAAUUUGAAAACCUUCCACAAUAAAAUUAAUCAAAAACAGUAGUGUAUAAAAGUAUAUUACACCACCCUAUGUGAAAAAUAAAUAAUGACAGCUUCUCCCAGGAUUAACCAGUUAUCCUGUAACUCAUGGGUAGUCAACCUGGUCCCUACUGCCCACUAGUGGGCUGUUUGGGAUUUCAGGUGGGCGGUGGUGGGUUCUGUAGAAAACACCGGUGACCCUCGACCAAGGCCAGCAGAGGAGAUCAUUUCAUCUUCCCUGCUUGCCCAUGCAGAGCCAGCUUUGCUGUAAGCCCCCGCGAACUGGUGAGAUCAAAGAUCUCCUUCACUGGCCUGCUGACAUUAGUUCCACCAGAGGGAGGGAAGGGCCUAAGAAGCUCUGUGUCCCUCCCGCGAGCAGGCUGGUCGGAGCAUUGCCACGCGUUAUCAUACAGUGCUGUGCUUGCAUGAGGACAGGAUUCAGCCUGCAGUAGAAGGAGCUGCAGUUAAAGUGAACAUGCCACCACUGGACAACCAGGGCUUGCAACAUUAUGUCCCCUCUCCCUGGUAAUAGGUAAGAAGAAGGCACGGGGAGAUAUUAAGAUAGAUUUUUCACCUCUCACCUUCCUAUACACAGCAUAAACUCUAUUCACUCUUCACACUACACCCAGACACUCCCCCCCUCCCCCAUACACACAGACUGUCCCCCAUACACACAGACUGUCCCCCUUUACACACAGACUGUCCCCCCCCUGGACUGUCCCCCCUCAUACACACAGACUGUCCCCCUCAUACACACAGACCCUGUCCCCCCCUCAUACACACACAGACUGUCCCCCCUCAUACACACAGACUUCCCCCUCAUACACACACAGACUUCCCCCUCAUACACUCUUCCCCCUCAUACACAGACUUCCCCCCCUCCACACACAGACUUCCCCCACACUUACACACAGACUGCCCCCCACACAGAGUCUGCCCCCCCACACACACACACACAGAGACUGCGCCCCCUCACACACACACAGAGACUGCGCCCCCUCACACACACACAGAGACUGCGCCCCACACACACACACACACAGAGCACACUUCACACAAACUGCACUACAUACAGCACCCUUCACACCCACACAUAGAAAAAAAGGAAAAAGAAGUAAGUUUAAGUACAUUUAAAAAAAAAACCUCGCACUAUAAAAUUAGUUACUGUGGCACUGGUGGGCGGUAAGGAAAUUUUACCAUCAACAAAGAUACAAAAGUGGGCGGUAGGUAUUAAAAGGUUGACUACCCCUGCUGUAACUGAAUCAAGGACAUAUACAAAAAAUGGAGCUACAACUACCUCAAUGAUGUUCAAACAAGAGAUAAAUGAGUUGUAUUCAAGACACCACUCAAUAUUACUCUUGUGAGUGUUAUUAACCCCGUUGGGGCAAUGUUUCUUCCCCGGGGAAUAUGAACGGCUGCGGUCCAUACUCUGAGUUCCAACCAGCACACCACACCAAGAGCUCGGAGAAUUGACUGACAUGCAACACCAAGAUAGUGUCCGCUUGACAGCGUUUCGCUUUUGUUUGUUUGUUCCCCAAAACAUUGUCUGAAGAGGAAACAUCUGUUAAGAGUAAAUUUAGUACAUGGUCAUUUGCAAAAGCUAAGAUAUAUGUUAAUACUGUCUUGAUAUAAACUAUCACUUAAGCAGCUUUGAGCAGUAAACAACAAAAUGGAGCCUACGUCCAAAAUUGCACCUGAAUCUAAAAUGGUGGUUCAUUCCAAAAUUGCACCCUAUUACAAAAUGGUGAAUUGGUUUUAACAUUUUUAUCCCAAGAAACCCCUUGUUUAAACAUAAUUUGGGUUUACUCUAUUCCACUUUGUAUAUUAUUGUGUUCUUUUAGGCAGGUUUAGCUCCAUUUUUUUGUAUAUGUGAUUUAGAUCGAGAGCAAACUUUGAUUAUUUGUCUAUCUACCCCUUCCAAAUUGAUUGAUUAAUGCGUGCACGCUCUUCCUAGAAGUAAUUCACACCGGAGACAAAGUUUCUGAUUAGUGAAAAACCUGAGGAAUGCUUUAUUCCCCGGCGUGGGAGCCCCUUUUUAAAGCAGAAAUACGUCAUGUACAGAGUCACAGUUAACAUACAAUAUACAUUCAACAAUUGGUUAACAGUCUAAGGGGUCUUGUCUAAACCCACCCUACAGGAUGUAAUGUCAUUAUUACAGAGUUCUCCCACCCACAUUCCAGCUCCAUCUUGGUUACACGAUGGGAGGGGGAGUGAGUAGUAACUGAACAGAGAGGGGCUGAAAGGGAAAACAGUUACUUUAACAGCGAUUCACCCAUUUUGUUACAUGUGGCACAUAGCUGUUAGUUUGCACAAAGGAAGUGGGGGAGGAGUUAGUAAAGGAAGCUGUUCUUUUAACACAGGAAUUUGUUACACAAGGCCUGCUCAAUGGGAAGGGGGGAGGGUAGCCGGGUGGGAGGAAUUUACAGAGGAAAUAGUUACUGAGCACACAGAGGGGGGAAGGGAAGCUUUUACUCUUGCAGCCAGUUUUACACAGUGACCACAGAUACACUGAAUAAAUAGACAUUAGUAAAUAGACAUUUUAUCCAUUCAAGUAUUUUGUCCAUAACAUUUGGCUGUUUGUAAUCCUUACGGUGAAAGGGAGUCCAUUCGCCCCCUCCCUGAGUUUAAGAAUAUCACCUCCUGUACUAUUUUAAAAGCAGGGAGUGUGCUUACAUUUUCAGCAACUUUACAUUCAUUAUAUCAAUGACUAAUGGCUUCUGGCAGAGAAAUCUGUUAUGGACUGUGUUUCAUAGUGUAAAACACAUAAAAAUAAGGUUUAACCCCUCUAAUUCUCAAAUUAAGUAUAAAGCAGUUUGGCAAAAAAAAUAAAAAAUUGAUACCUACAGCCUCGCCUUUCUGCUAUGCUUAUACCUGAGUAAACCCCUUUAACCUUGGAAAUGAUAGAGUGCAAAUUUGACAUGGGGUAGACCUGUAUUCUGAACCUAACCUUAAUGCCCAAACAUUGGCUUUGGAAUGAACAUAUCUGCAGCCAAGGGGCUAGGCUUUUGAAAGGCUUCUAUUUUGUCGGCUUGCUCACUCAGUUGGUUUGACACAAUAUAGGGGGAAAGUGCCUUUACCACAAAUUCUUUGCACUAUCCUGUAUUGUUUCAUGACCUGGGCAUAGUGCCCUUAUAACCUAUUAACAAAUGUCUUCACAUGUCCAGUGCAUCUCCCACAGACGUUCUUGAGAGCAGUAUGUAGUUUACCUAAAUUGGCUUUUGUUCAACUGAAGGGAAGGAGCCAAAUAAAGGUGUAUAUACAAUUUAAAAACAUCAACAGCAUCUCUGACUAGAAUUCUCAUUUGAUGGUAUCAUUAAUAUGGAUUGAUUAGAUAGGCUAUAUGUUAUCAUUGAAAUAUUAAAUUUGGCUGCCUCUCGUGAAUCUGCAAUUUAAACAAAUCUCAACUUAUAGAGUGCUUACUCUUUAUAAUUUAUCGGAUUUUCCGUCUGGCAACACAGUGUUGACUUCUACAGCCCUUUCUUGAAUCCGCCCACCCUUGAAAACUGUCUGCACAAAACUUGACCAAAAGCAUUAUUGUGUUUGACCUUGUUGUGUUUUUGCUUUACAGUUUCUAUACAGUGCUUUAUUUUUACUUCUGGUUAUUUUUUCUAAACCUAUAAUGGUAUAACAUGGUUUUAAAUGUUAUAUUUAUUUUGAAAUCUAGAAUAUAUGCCUGUUCUCAAACUGCGUGACAUUUUAGAGUAUUUACUUGAGACCUGAAAAAUGAAACCUAAAAAUUCACACCACUGUUUGUACCUAAAUCUUGUUUGUGUAUGUAUGUGUGUGUGUAUAUAUAUAUAUAUAUAUAUAUAUAUAUAUAUAUAUAUAUCUAAAAGAUGCUCAGGGUGCACUCAGAGGACUUUCUAGUGAUACUUUAAUGAAGUGGAAAAAAAUAUACAGUUAUCUGCACACCCUGGCGGGUCUUUUUCAAGAUACAGAGUGGAUUACAAAAUGUGAAUAUAUAUAUAUAUAUAUAUAUAUAUAUAUAAGGGGGUGAAAUACACUUACCAAUCGUGACCGUGAUCUCACCAAACUGCUUACACCUGGAAGUGUCAGGAAGCCGCGAUGACGUCAUGACGCCAUGCAGGAGGUAGCGUGGUUGCUAAGAUACCUGUACACAAACCCCCAUGGAGUGUCUGUGUAAAACGUGAGAUUAGGUAAAUACUACCGUGAGUAGAAUAUAAAAAAAGCAUACCAAACUACACGGAGGAGGGCAAAAUAGAAAAGCAACAGAGUACUAGAAGAGCUAAUGCAAUCAAGGACCAAAAAAAGUAACACAAUGUGAAAACAAUAAAUGUGAACAACAUUGCAAUAAAAAACUAAGUGAAGGUGCAGUGAACAUGUCUCUAAGUGUAAAUAGAUAAAUAAGUGAUCCAAUACAAUUUUAACACAUUUUACUAUAUAACUUGAAAAUAUACAAGUGUAUCAAUGAGGCAUAAUAUCCAGAAAGCAUGAAUACUAUAAUAAUUCAAAACUUAAAGGAACACUAUAGCCACCUAAACAACUUUAGCUUAAUUAAGCAGUUUUAGUGUAUAGAUCAUGCUUCUCAGGUUUCACUGCUCAAUUCACUGCCAUUUAGGAGUUACAUCACUUUGUUUCUGUUUAUGCCGCCCUUGUCUCACCUCCCCUGGCUAUGAUUGACAGAGCCUGCAUGAAAAAAACUGUUUUUUACUUUCAAUCAGAUGUAAUUUACCUUAAACAAGUGUAUCUCUUUCUCUGUAAAUUGAACUUUAAUCACAUACAGGAGGCUCUUGCAGGAUCUAGCAAGCUAUUAACAUAGCAGAGGAUAAGAAAAUCUAAAUUAAACAGAACUUGCAAUAAAGGAGGGAUAAACUUUAACCCCUUAAGGACACGUGACAUGUCAUGAUUCCCUUUUAUUUCAGCGGUUUGGUCCUUAAGGGGUUAAAUCACUCUUUACAGGAAGUAUUUAUGGAAGGCUGUGCAAGUCACAUGCAGGGAGGUGUGACUAGGGUUCAUAAACAGGGAUUUAACUCCUAAAUGGCAGAGAAUUGAGCAGUGAGACUGCAGGGACAUGAUCUAUACACCAAAACUGCUUCAUUAAGCAAAAGUUGUUUUGGUGACUCUAGUGUCCCUUUAAUAAUGACUCUCCAGUCUAUAGAAAAACAAAUCUACUAGAGCCUAAAAAAAAAUCAUAAAGGCAUACCUGCAGAAAAAAGUCGAGGAAUAGCGAGGAUAACAAAAACAGAUGGCACAAAUGACAAAACAAGCAACUAGAUUAAAGAAACAUAGAAUAAAUCCCAUUUUUAUUAAGGCUUCUAGGGGCUACAGUGUCCAGAUUAUGGAUCCAAAACACCUCACGCUGUAAAAGCAAUUUAGACCGGUCAUCCCCACAGGGAGGAACAGGGACAUGAUCCAUAGCAAUAAAGCAGAGCAUGGGGAGAUGAUGCUAGACAGCCAAAAAAAAAUUAGCAACCGGUUUAUCAGUGCGCUGGUCCUGGAAAGCGGUCAUGAUCCCAGAUCUACGACCUCGAAUGCGAUCUCUUAAGGUGAGGUCAGUCUUGCCCAAGUAUGAAAAUCCGCAAGAACAAGUGAUUUAAAUAGACAACGUGUGGUACAAGUAUUGUCUGAUGGAGAUACGUUUGCCACUAUGGGGAUGUGCAAAAGAGGGUCCACUCAUAUGGCUGCAUGUAACGCAGUCUGAGCAUUUGAAACAUCCUUUAUUUUUUAUUUGAACAGUUUUUUUUUUGUAGCAGUGACUAGGAUCACUGCGUACAAGUAAGUCAUGUAAGUUACGAUUUCUUUUAUAGCUUACAAUUGGUGUCUCUUGAAAAAUAGGUGGAUUGUUGCUAUUGGUUUGUAGAAUACGCCAAUUUUUGUAAAUGGAGUCCCUAAUAGGCUUAAUGCCUGUAUGGAGUGUCAAUUUAGCUGAAGAUAAUACCUGGGCCAGGAUGAUAUCCCAUAUCACGAAAUCGAUCCCACAUUUGUUGCAAUUGGUUCUCAUGGGUUUUGUGACACAUAAAAAUUGGGAAAUAGGUAAUGAGUCUUUAAAUUGUUGUGGAUAAAAGAUAGUGGCUACAAGUAAUGUAUUACGGUCCUUCUGUUUGCAGUAUAGAGUGUAUCCUAGUCUAUUGUUGACUCUGUAUAUAGUUACAUCCAAAAGUUUAAUUGUGGACUCAUUACAAAUAUGUGUUAAUUUGACAGACAACAGUAAAGCAUUGAUCUGGCCUACCAUGGCAUGCAGCUCGUCUGACGUUCCCGUCCAGAUGACAAAAUGUCAUCCACAAACUUGCAAUUAUUUUAAAUUUUAUGACAAAUUCUACUUACAAACCUCCAGAACAGCGAUGGGAGCAGCUAUGGGUCCCUCUUAUGCUAAUAUAUUUAUGCAUUGGUUUGAACAUGAAUAUAUAUUGUCUGCAUUUGAAAUGAAAAUAAUAAAGUACCUGAGGUGUGUGUACGACAUUUUUGUCACCUGGAGGGGAACGUUGGACAAGCUGCAAUGGGUGAGCCUUAUGAAAGUGUUAUAAUAUGAAAAGUGGUGCAAAGUUUUAGAAGUGAGGCAGUCAGCAUGGAAACCAGUGGUGCCAACAGGAACAUUUCUUUUUUUUUUUUUUUUUAUAAUUUGUUUAUUUCAUUUUUUCUUAUAUAGCCAUUCAAGACAUUACCAUCAGCAUUAAUGAUAUAAAAAACAUGAAUAAUUUUGCCAUCUACCACCAAAUUAGAUAAAAAAUUUAAAAUUAAAUGUAUACUCAAUACUAUUGCACACAUAUUAGCCUUUGUGAUAUAAGAGCUUUUUCCCCUAUUCAUUUUUCUACUAAAUUAUUUUCUAAAUCUAGAUCAAAUGCCAUAUUGAAAAAGAGGAAAAAAGAAAGAUCAGUCUACAUGUCUAAAAUUUUUUAUCAAACCUCCCUCUAAGAUUAAAAUUCCUAUUAUCUAUCGUAUAAGACAACUUGAUUCAGUAUUAAUUAUUACUUAAAUUGGGUAGAUGGCAUUCCAAACUUCAUUAAUAUGAUAUACAUAACAAACAUAAAAGACAGACAUUUAUUUUUAUGCAUUGCAAACUCUUCUUGGGGUAUUUCAGUGGUACCUCUAUUUCACUACCUUAAUAUACUAAACAGAUAAAGAUGUAAGAGAAAGAGAGAGACUGAUCUAAUUACUUUAAUUUUAUCCAGAAUUUAUUCUGGCCAUACUCUCCACUUUUUCUUUCCAAAAAUUACUGACGUCUCUAAUUUUAAUUGACUGGAGUCCAAGGGCCUCCAUAUUUAAUUGAUAUUGGACUUGAGAAUAUAAUUGGGCUUGCACUACUCUUCCAAUUCCUUGCAAUGAUUAUUUUUAUUGCUGCUACAAAAUGGACAUAUAUAAAUUUAUCCUUGAAAAGGAGUGAUUGCAAAUUUAAGUGAAAUAAACCAUUAUGAUGACCCCUGGGGAUUUUUAUUUCUGUAAUAUUCUCCAGUGAAUCGAAAGCCAUAUACCACAGGAUUUUCACCUUACUACACUCCCACCAUAUAUGUCCAAAGGUCCCCUCUUUUUCGUUACAUCUCCAACAAAUUGGAGAAUUGGAGAUAUACAUUUUGGCUAGUCUGUUAGGGACUAGAUACCAGCGGUUCAUUAAUUUAAACAAUACUUCAAGAAGGUUCAGACAAUGGAUUAUCUUACUUGUUUGAUAUAAUACUUGGUCCCAUUCAGACUUAAAAAUCUGUACAUUUAACUCUUUACUCCAUUUUUGGAUAUUUACAUUUAGCUUUGGAGCUUCGAUUUGGAGGAGAGCAAUCCUUGCCUUUGAGACUAUUUGCGGUACGGUCUCAUUUUUUAAUAAAACUAUCAGGUUUUCUAUGCCCACUGUAGGUCGAUAUAACAAAUAUUGUUUGUUAAAACUUCCAAUUCUUAAAUAAUUAUACCACUCCUUCCAGGGUAAUGAAAAUUCUUGUAUCAGAUUUUCAAAUGAUUUAAUUUUGUCGCCCGUUAUUAUUUGAUUUAUAGAAUCAAUACCUUUCCUUAUCCAUUCCCCUAAAUUUAGAUCCUUCAUCCUUAAUUGGAUAAUACUAAGGUUAAAAUUUCCCAAUAUUUUAUUACAUAAACCGCUAUUAAUCCUCAUCUUUUCCCACUCCAUUAAUAUAGAUUUCAAACAUGUAUUGGAGGAACAGACCUUUUUGGUUCUUUCAUCUUGUUUAGUUAACCAAAUAAAAUGAUGUAAAUUUUCCAUUUCUGUCAUCUCCAAUUCUAGUUGGUACCAACCAACUUCCUCUGAACUUAAUAAUUGUGUCUUAUAUAUAUGGAACAUCAUAUUUGCUAGAUACGUUAUAGUAAUAUUUGGAAAAUUUAUCCCUCCUUUCCUAAUCUUCUGCAUCAAAAGUUGUUUAUUCAUCCUUGGCCUUUUUCCUUUCCAUAUAAAAUUAUUUAUAUCUCGUUGAAUCAUAGAUAACCAUGGUUGUGGCAUUCUCAAGGGGAUCAUACGGAAUAAAUAAGACCAUUUAGGUAAUAAAUACGAAUUAACCAAAUUAAUUCUGCCCCACCAAGACAGUUCAGUUUGUCUCCAUCUCUUUAAAGACUCAUGUGUCGAUCUAAAUGUUUUCAAAAAAUUUACUUGGAGCGUAUCUUUAACAUCAUCAGUGAGAAUUAUACCCAGAUACGUUAACAAAUUUCUAUUACAAUUAAAUUUAUAUUUAUCUUUAAUCUGUUGAAUAGAAUCUCUGGAAAUAUUUAUUGCUAAAAAAGUGGAUUUAGUUACAUUUAUUUUAUAAUUUGAGAUCAGACUAUAUUUAUCUAUUUCUGCCAUCAGUGCUUUAAGCGAUUCAACAGGGUCGGUUAGGGUCAAUAUCAAAUCAUCUGCAUAUAGAUUUAAUUUAAGUUCUUUUUCUCUAAGUUUAAAUCCUUUAAUUUGAGGGUUAUCUCUAAUUUUAAUGGCUAAGAUCUCCAUUGUCAUUAUAUAUAAAAUCGGCGACAAAGGACAACCCUGUCUCGUACCAUUUUUAAGUGUAAACCACUCUGCGCAUAUGUUUGGGGCCACUGUUCUUGCUUUAGGACCUUCAUAUAAUGCCAAAAUAGCAUUUAGCAUCCUUCCCUGAAUUCCGAAUUUUUCCAUCGUUUUCCUUAAAAAAUCCCAACCGACCCUGUCGAAAGCCUUCUCGGCAUCGACCGCCAAUACAAAUAAAGGUUUAUUACUUCUUCUAGAUACAUCUAUCAGAUCCAAUAAUCUUCUAGAGUUAUCUACUGGAUCUCUACCUUGUACAAAACCUAUUUGAUCAUUUUUAAUUAUAUUAUCCAUUAAACCUCUUAAUCUAUGAGCCAAAACUGAAGAAAAAAUCUUAACAUCUGUAUUGAUUAAGGAGAUAGGUCUAUAAUUUUCUACCUUUAGAGGAUCUUUGUUAUCUUUAAGAAUUGAAAGAAUAUUUGCACUCAACAUUUCUGUAGGAAAUUUACCAAGUGAUACAAUUUCGUUAAACAUGUCUGUUAGGUGGGGUACAAUAAGUUUUUUAAAUGAUUUAUAAAAUAUAUUUGCGAAACCAUCUGGGCCUGGCGUCUUAUCUAGUUUUAAUUUGUUUAUUACUACCUCUACUUCCUGAGCUGUAAUUAAAGUAUUUAGCUUAUUAGUUUGUUCUAUUGUAAUCUUAGGAGUAUUAAUUUUACUCAGAUAGUCCUCCUCGUUGGUUAUCAAGGGAGUUAAAUUAUACAAAGCCUCAUAAUACUUAUUAAAUCUCUCCCCUAUUUUUUGGGGUCCAGAUAUACCCCGUCUUCAUCCUCUAUCUUUACUAUUUUAUUAGAUCCAAUUUUAUCUCUUAAUUUUUUAGUCAUAAUUCUAUCUGCUCGAUUUCCCUUAUAGUAGUAAUUGGCUUUGAGUUUAUUCCUAAUUUUUACAUUCUUUGCUAUAAGAAAAUUAUUAAUUCUAUUCUGAAUACUUUUUAGCUCGUCUGCAUUUUCUUUAGAGGGAAACUGCUUGUUCUUGCUUGCAGCCUUUUUCAGUUCGUUUUGUAAUACCAUGAAAGAUUUAUUAUUUGCUACUUUAUAUCUUGUUUGAAUACUUAUUAUAUUGCCUCUCAUGGUAGAUUUAAAAGCACACCAGUUAUUUGUAUAUGAGGUAUCUUUUGGAUCAUUUUCAAGAAAGAAGGUUACUAUUUGUUUUUCCAUUAUAUCAAGAUUGAUCUUAGAUUUUAAUAAAUUAUCAUCCAUGCGCCAGGUAUCACGACCAAUCCUGAUCCACUGAUUCUUCAUCUCCCACAUAUUAAUACUAUGAUCAGACCAAGUAUUAUCAAGUAUCUUAAAAUAUUUAAUAUUCGUCAAUGCGGUCAUAUUUCCCCAAACCAUAUCUAUUCGGGAAUACGAAAGAUGUACCCGUGAAAAAAACGUAUAUUCCAAUGAAUUAGGAUUGGUCGUUCUCCAAAGAUCAAAAUAAUCAAAAUUAAUCAUGUUUCUCUUAAUAGAUUUUGCCAAUUUAUCUGUUCUUUUUUGAUGUAAUAGUAUUGAAGAUGUCUUCUUAUCUAAUAUCGGAUCCAAUACACUAUUAAAGUCCCCAGCCACCAAACAUGUGCCUAUUUUGACAGAUUCCAUUAAAGUUAAGACCUUUUUUAAGGUUGGAGCAGGAAAGUCAUUAGGCAGAUAUAUAUUAGUCAAUGUAUAAGGUAUCUCAUUCAAUUUACAACAAACUAUAACAUAUCUACCUUCCUUAUCUUUAAUUUGAUGAAUUAUAUCCACUUUUAAUGAGUGGGAAAAUACUAUUGCUACUCCUCUUUUUUUUUCUCCACUUAAAGAAGCAUGUAUCAUUAUAGGGAAUUUUGAACCACCCCAGCCCUGACUAUCCAUAUCCAACCAGUGAGUCUCUUGAAAAAAGCCCACUUCCACUUUAUUUCUUAACAUAUAAUCAUAGAUUAAAGAUUUUUUGGUUAAAGAAUUAAGGUCUUGGACAUUAACUGAAAUCAUCUUUACCAUAUUAAAUCAAAACUCAUUGUUUCCACUGACCCCAAGAGAGCUGCAAUGCAUUCACAUACAACACAAAAGGUCCAUUGAACAUAGACCCACAAAAACCUUAUGGGAAAAAACCCCAGUCUGGCCCAACACAGCCUGGCUCCCGAAAGGUUCCCUCUCGGCUUACCACUCCAGGACCAUCUGUGUCCUCGUGAGAUUGUGUUUGAAUUCACCAUAUCACGGAAUUUGUGUCAACAAAAGAGAUGACACUUGGUGGGGCGGUAUGAGGAGAGUAACCGAAAAUCUUGUUCCUUAUUUUUAAGAAGACUCUACCAUCUCCUAUAGUUGCACAGAGGAGAGAAAAAAAAACAAAAAACUUAUUUACAACCUAGAUUCCCUGAUAGUUAUGAAUAUAUUAUCACUGACAGUUUAUGUGGUGCUAUUAUUUUAAAAGAUCUAUCCAAUUGGUUAUAGAAUAUCUACCAUUCUUCUUAGAUAACUUACUAUUACCACCCAACCAGUUGUGUGUUUGUGUGACAAUAUUUACAAAUCUAUCUCUUAAGUAUAUCAAAUCCUACCAUGUGUUUUAAUCCUAUGAUAAUUAUAUAUAUUUUUUUUUUUUCGUGAAUAAUUUAUCUUCCUACUGUAUAUAGAUAAUCUUCCGUGAUUCUUAUUUAAAUUACCAGAAUCUCCUAACACUUUAUCAAUUUCUGAUGCAGUGUGUAAAAAUUGCAUCUCUUUACUGUGUUCAAACUAUCUAAUUUUAUAAAUUUACUCAAUCUAUUUACAUAUUUUCUCCUUUAAAGUAUUAACACUUAACUUCCAUCUUAACAUGUGAAAAAAUAAACCCACCAUUGACUUAUUAUUAACACUUAUUCCUAACCUUUUGCCUAUCUCCAUCCUUUACUUGUUAGCUAUCUAUCAACAGGAACAUUUCAUUGUCAGUAGCUCCACCUUUUUUUAUUUUUAAAGAAUAUUAUGGAAUCAAAAAAAUCCAAAAGUAUGUACAAGACACUAAAGUAAAAUUUUAAAGUACUUAUAUGUGUGUGUGCGCAAAAGGCACUCAGGCCAUUUAAAAAUUAAUAUAUAUAUAUAUUUAUUUUUUAUUAUUUAUUUAGUUUUCUCUUCUGGGUUUUAUCAGACUCUAGUCAUGUGGGGAUUUCUGGUCUGCGUCUUGUUUUGAACUAUAUUGUGAAACAUUUAGCUCUAAUCACGUUGGCUUCAUUUGACAGUCUCUUUUUUUUUUUUUUUUUCUGCACAGAUGGUCCCUAAUAUUUUUGUUUCUCCCCCUCCAAUGCAGCAUGUGCCCUGGUUGUGCUUGGAUUGAACUGGAUUGUGAUAUUAACUACUAAAUCCUUAAGGAAAAACUGUUUGGUUUUGUAAUAAGUUCAUAAGUUUGCAUGUAACGUAGCCUGUGUGUACAGGUGUAGACGGACUACAAGGGCAGAUUGGUCAUUGACCAAGAGCCAGAGCAGUCCGGAUGAACAGCCAUGCUCUGACUGGGGAAAUCAGAUUAGAGAUCUCCCCAGCCAGAAAAACAUAAUCAAAUAAUUACAGGAUUGUGUUGCAGGGCCCCUACAACCUACUACACUGUAAGUGCAAACAGCCCAAUUCACACACGCAAACCCACAAGGAGCCUCACUGUAUGCACACAAUCUCACAAGCAGUUUCCCUGCAUAGGAAAAACCACAUACAGCCUCCAUAGACACACCACUAUUACAAUUAUUGCAGCGCUGUAGAAUAGGUAAAACAAGACAAACUAUUAAUACUAACACAUUGCCUCUUUAACAACGGAUAUAUGCUUCGACACAUGGACAAGGCGAGGGGUCCGUUGUGUGGGUUCCUUAUAUAACGAAGCGGGUAUUAAACCAUUCCCUGAGCUUCAGAAGUUAUAUUCUUUGCCAUCACAGGAACUAUUUACAUACCUGCAUAUUAAACAUAUUAUGAAUACAGUACUACCCAUAACACAAGACAGCGCACACAGACAACUUUAUGUGCAUAAGUGUAUAGGG